rnacentral:rRNA from 1 species
AACGAACGCUGGCGGCAUGCCUAACACAUGCAAGUCGAACGAGACCUUAGGGUCUGGUGGCGCUCAGGUGCGUCACGUGUGGGAAGCUGCCGUUAUAUUUGGAAUUACACUUCGUCGGGGGUGCUAACACAGGAUAAUGUCUUCGGAUCACAGAUUUAUCUUACUUGGAUGGGCACGCGUUGGUUUAGCUUGUUGGUAGGGUAAAAGCCUACCAAGGCGACGAUACAUAGCUGGUCUGAGAGAAUGAGCAGCCACACUUGGUAUAAGACCCGGCCCAGACUCCUGCAGGAUGGAGCAGUGGGGAAUAUUGGAAUAUCGGCGAAAUGCUGAUGCAGUAAUGCCUCGUGAGUGAUGAAGUCCGUAGAGAUGUAAAGCUCUUUUACCCGGGAUGAUAAUGACAGUACCGAGAGAAUAAGCACCGGCUAACUCCGUG